UAUAUUAAAUAUUUAUAUGCAAUACAAUUAUAUAAAAUUGUAUAUAUACACCUGUAAAUAUUUCUUAAAUAUAUACAUGUACUGUAUGUGUAUGUAUUUAUAUAUACUUGAUUAUUAUACACAGUACACACAAAUUUUAUGUAAACAAAAACUUUUAUUUUGCAAACGAAUAGUCACAGUUUUUUACAUGGUAUUUUUUUCUCAUGUGGAAGGUGAAUGUGUUUAAUACGCCGAGAUGUAUGAGCCUGGGUCAGUGAUGUCUCAAUGUACGGCCUGUUUUAAAACCCCGUCUUUGUUACAGAUUUACACCAAACGACAAAAUUCAGAAACUAGAAUUCAAGCGUAAUUACAUUCAGAUGGUUCAACAUAAUAAAUAAACACUACAAAUACAUUCUAAAUGUCGGCCAGUGGUUUCCCGGGCAGAAGAAUUGGUCUGCCUCUGAAUGAGGAAUAUUGAGUGUUUCUGUUUCAUAGAAAUGAACAGAUCUAAUGCUUUCCGACCUAUGUGUUACACCCUGAUCAUACUCCCAUGAUUUAUCCCUUUUGAGAUAGAUACAUAGGCUUAAUAGAUUUUGGGUGUAUAUUUGGCAAACUUUCAUUAAUAAAAAUCUAUACUUAAUAUUCAAGGUUUUGUUUGCUGGUUUUUAUUUUAUAGAACACAUACAUACAUUUCGGUUUAAAUAUGAGUAGGGCCUCAUUUCCAAUGAAAAAACCACACCUGACUGAGGAACCAUUUAGACCUAACCCCGUUUCAUUACCAAUGAAUGACAGUGUGCAUACAGGUCUCAUGAUCAGAUCGGGCUGUGUCCCAAAUCACAUACUUAUGUAAUAUUACACACAAUUUUCUAGUAUAAAUAGUGUGAGUUGUUUGUUCACAUUUCAAUUUCUUUACAUGACACUGGACAAGUUGCUGUGCGAGCGAAGUUCGAUUCGGCUUCAAUACGAUGGUGAUUGAGGUCAUGUUGGGCAAAACAGUUUUUACAGAUGCGACACGACGCAGCACCUCUUGUCUGGUGUGGUCAAGGCAAGUCCAGUUAGUGUUUCUGUGUUUAGUCAGGACAGGUUGAGUCUAGUGUUUUGUGUUUUUCUUCAGUUUUGUUUUUUUGGUCUGCUAUUUUGGCUGUAGUUUGGGCCUUGGCUCAAUUUUUGUUGUUGUUAUUUUUUAUUGUACAAACUGUCUGCAUUUGGGGUGUGUCCUCACUAAGUGUGACACAUAUUGUGUUGAACUGUGUUGUUGUAAUUAAUAGCCUCAUUAAAUAAAUACAUUCUUGUGAA